GCCUCCUUGGCUCAGUUGGCAGAGCAUCUGCCUAGUAAGCAGAAGGUUGCUUGUUUGAUUCCAGCAGAAGGCA
rnacentral:tRNA from 1 species